rnacentral:rRNA from 1 species
UGGGGAAUUUUGGACAAUGGGGGAAACCCUGAUCCAGCCAUCCCGCGUGUGCGAUGAAGGCCUUCGGGUUGUAAAGCACUUUUGGCAGGAAAGAAACGUCAUGGGUUAAUACCCCGUGAAACUGACGGUACCUGCAGAAUAAGCACCGGCUAACUACGUGCCAGCAGCCGCGGUAAUACGUAGGGUGCAAGCGUUAAUCGGAAUUACUGGGCGUAAAGCGUGCGCAGGCGGUUCGGAAAGAAAGAUGUGAAAUCCCAGAGCUCAACUUUGGAACUGCAUUUUUUAACUACCGGGCUAGAGUGUGUCAGAGGGAGGUGGAAUUCCGCGUGUAGCAGUGAAAUGCGUAGAUAUGCGGAGGAACACCGAUGGCGAAGGCAGCCUCCUGGGAUAACACUGACGCUCAUGCACGAAAGCGUGGGGAGCAAACAGG